AGUGAACGCUGGCGGUAGGCCUAACACAUGCAAGUCGAACGGCAGCACAGUAAGAGCUUGCUCUUACGGGUGGCGAGUGGCGGACGGGUGAGGAAUACAUCGGAAUCUACUUUUUCGUGGGGGAUAACGUAGGGAAACUUACGCUAAUACCGCAUACGACUUACGGGUGAAAGCAGGGGAUCUUCGGACCUUGCGCGAUUGAAUGAGCCGAUGUCGGAUUAGCUAGUUGGCGGGGUAAAGGCCCACCAAGGCGACGAUCCGUAGCUGGUCUGAGAGGAUGAGCAGCCACACUGGAACUGAGACACGGUCCAGACUCCUACGGGAGGCAGCAGUGGGGAAUAUUGGACAAUGGGCGCAAGCCUGAUCCAGCCAUACCGCGUGGGUGAAGAAGGCCUUCGGGUUGUAAAGCCCUUUUGUUGGGAAAGAAAAGCAGCAGGUUAAUACCCCGCUGUUCUGACGGUACCCAAAGAAUAAGCACCGGCUAACUUCGUG
rnacentral:rRNA from 1 species